CCCUUAGAUGUUCUGGGCCGCACGCGCGCUACACUGAUGCAUUCAACGAGCCUAUCCUUGAACGACAGGUCCGGGUAAUCUUUGAAUCUGCAUCGUGACGGGGAUAGAUUAUUGCAAUUAUUAAUCUUCAACGAGGAAUGCCUAGUAGGCGCAAGUCAUCAGCUUGCGUCGAUUACGUCCCUGCCCUUUGUACACACCGCCCGUCGCUCCUACCGAUUGGGUGUGCUGGUGAAAUGUUCGGAUCGGCCGUUUGUCGCGGUUUCCGCGUCAUGUGGCUGAGAAGUUCAUUAAACCCUCCCACCUAGAGGAAGGAGAAGUCGUAACA
rnacentral:rRNA from 1 species